GAUUCUAUAAUUUAAAUUAAAAUAUUGAUUUUGUAAAUCAGCUAUUGGAUACUCCAUAGAUUCU
rnacentral:tRNA from 1 species